CCAGCGACAACAAUGGCAUGCUACCGACAAUGGCGGCCCGUGGAUAGGCUUGCCAGGCCUAUCCACAGCUUUUUCUAUUUUUGUUUUUUAUUUUAUUUGUCAAGGUGGGCACCAAACUGCCUCAAAAAUAGGCUAUUUAUUGUGACCUUUGAUUUGAGGCAUUUUGGCUACCCACCUCGAAAAAUUGUUUUUGCCCACCUUAGUAACAUGGCACCACAUAGAAUGGUUAAUGUGGUGCACCUACCAUCGUCUAAUUAAACUGCCUAUAAUGCAAAAACAAAUGGUUUUAAAUGUUGUGGGAAAACAAUAUUUAGUUUUAUAAAUGAGGGAGUCAAAGGUCCAAAUGGCUAGAGGGGGUGAAUAGCCUAUUUAAAAAUUCUACAAGCUUAACUAAACAAGUGUGUUAGUAAAACAAAUGGUGUUGGAAUUCUAGCACUAGAACAACUAAUCCAUGCAAGACACCUAUACAAGUCUAGUAUAAGGGUAAACACUAAACCAUGCCAAUAAGAGAAGGCAACACUAAGCUCUACUCCUAAACAAGGUAACAAAGCUACACAAGCUAAACUAGCAAGGUAAGCAAGAAAUAAAGGAGUGAGUGAGGAUUCUUAUACCAACAUUGG
rnacentral:lncRNA from 1 species